GACGAACGCUGGCGGCGUGCUUAACACAUGCAAGUCGAACGGAAAGGCCCUGCCUUUGUGGGGUGCUCGAGUGGCGAACGGGUGAGUAACACGUGAGUAACCUGCCCUUGACUUUGGGAUAACUUCAGGAAACUGGGGCUAAUACCGGAUAGGAGCUCCUGCUGCAUGGUGGGGGUUGGAAAUCUUCGGCGGUUGGGGAUGGACUCGCGGCUUAUCAGCUUGUUGGUGGGGUAGUGGCUUACCAAUGCUUUGACGGGUAGCCGGCCUGAGAGGGUGACCGGCCACAUUGGGACUGAGAUACGCACCAGAGUCCUACGGGAGGCAGCAGUGGGGAAUAUUGCACAAUGGGCGGAAGCCUGAUGCAGCAACGCCGCGUGCGGGAUGACGGCCUUCGGGUUGUAAACCGCUUUCGCCUGUGACGAAGCGUGAGUGACGGUAAUGGGUAAAGAAGCACCGGCUAACUACGUG
rnacentral:rRNA from 1 species